GGAGAGUAUUGAGGCAGAGAUAAGGAGACAACUGGAAUUGCUGAGAAAGAGAGCGAGAAUUGAAACUGUAAUGUUUUUGAGCGUGCAUGGAGAACAGCAGAGGAAGAAGAGCUACCUAUUAAAUGCAGGAAGAGAGACGAAUCUACAGAAAACUUAAUUCAAGUGUAUUACUGUAAACAAAUACCAGUAUGUACCAACACAAAUGUUGGGGUGAUACAUAAAUUACCUCUGUUGGAGGAAGGAUUUAGCAAUGGCCUUCAGGAAGGUACUUUUCUAUCCACCUUUCAAUAACUGAAAUAAAAUGCAUACUGACUUU